UAUGUAAUAUCUCAGCUGGUAGAGCGCUAUCUUGGCAAGUUCGAGGUCACGAGUUCGAACCUCGUGUGCCGCUCCA
rnacentral:tRNA from 1 species